UAUAACCGGUUCCUUGCUGUAGUAAGAGACAACAACACAGCCUCCUGCCAUGUGACUGUACAUUUUGGAGCGUUUGUGAGGAUAAACAUACACAAACCAAAAGCAGAAGAACAGAAAAACUAUCUACAAGGGGAUUUCUGCGCCAACUGGGUGUGGUGUCAGCGGGGUGCAAUGCAGGGAAGAUGAUAUAACCCAAGGAGAAGAUGUUAUUAACCCCUUCUUGUCGUGACGCCAGGGCAUGGUUUAGCCUUAUCCACCCAAAGAUGCAGUGUACGACAGAUCCCAACGGCACUCGACAGACUCCAGAUGAACCCCAGAUACGCUCCUGUUCGGCUCCACCCAGUUCCAAAUUCUGUCAACUGUUUGAAGAGUAAUCAGUGAGGAACCUGCCAUCUCGGCCAAUCACUGGCUGCAAUUGUGUCCCAUCUAGGCAAAUGAUUGGCUGGGCGGGCAGAUCGUGCACCAAGCGCUCAUCUUGGAAACAGGAAGAAGAAGGGCGGGAAGAAGCCACCAGGGACCUCUCUAAUGACUUCAGGCAGCAUAAAAGCGAUGUCAGGUUCCCCUUA